AUCAGCCUUUUGAGCGUGAUUAUGUGGAGCGUGAGGAGUUAAACGCCUUCAUGCCUUCAUAUUCGUGCACUUUGGGUGUACUUGCUCGUGUGGUAGGUUAACAUCAAUUUCGAUCAUCAUAAAAUGGUUGGAGGAAUGUAGCUUCGAUCUCGUAUUGAAGUGUUAUAGCCUUAAACAGAUGUGAUGAUUGGGAUUGUGGAUUGCAACGGAUACCCUUCGGGGCUACCCGUCUGAUCUCUGAAAGUUACUCUGGUACCGAAAGCUUGCUUACGGUAUCAAAGUUGACGUUCAACAGGUUAGAACGGGUUAAAUUCGUUAAGGAUGUUGACGUAAUGGCUUU
rnacentral:rRNA from 1 species